rnacentral:rRNA from 1 species
AUUGAACGCUGGCGGCAUGCUUUACACAUGCAAGUCGAACGGCAGCGCGGGCUUCGGCCUGGCGGCGAGUGGCGAACGGGUGAGUAAUGCAUCGGAACGUGCCCAGUAGUGGGGUAUAGCCCGGCGAAAGCCGGAUUAAUACCGCAUACGACCUGAGGGUGAAAGCGGGGGACCGAAAGGCCUCGCGCUAUUGGAGCGGCCGGUGUCGGAUUAGCUAGUUGGUGGGGUAAAGGCUUACCAAGGCGACGAUCCGUAGCUGGUCUGAGAGGACGACCAGCCACACUGGGACUGAGACACGGCCCAGACUCCUACGGGAGGCAGCAGUGGGGAAUUUUGGACAAUGGGGGCAACCCUGAUCCAGCCAUGCCGCGUGCGGGAAGAAGGCCUUCGGGUUGUAAACCGCUUCUGUUCGGGAAGAAAUCCUCUGGGCUAAUACCCCGGGGGGAUGACGGUACCGGAAGAAUAAGCACCGGCUAACUACGUG